GGUUGAUGGUGGUUUCACAAAACUGAGGUUUAGGGGUACCGGCGACCUAGUGGAGGUAGUGAGACAUGGAAUAGGAGGUUGGAGGAGCUUUGCAGCACAAGCUGGGCCACUGAGGAGAGCUGGUUGGAGAGAAGAUUGUAGAUGUGCUGAUACUUGCUCCAUGACAGAAGAAAGGAACAUUUGAUCUGGGGGAAUAAAUGAUAAAUAAAACACUUGCAC